AAGGAGCAGCACAUGAACCGAACGCAACACACGCGAACCGAACCGAGACAGUCGAAGCGAACGAUUCUGACGGUUUUCAUAAACCGUUCCAUCCCUACAGUAUAACACAUGAAUGUGAUCCAUUUUCAAAGCAGGCUCUUAACACAACGAUCACUUUAUAUCAUAUACUUAAGUAUAGUCAGUGUAUGUUUUUAUGAUAUUUUAUCUCACUUUUUAUCACACAAUAUGCAAUCCUCAUCUCUGUGAUUCCGUGGUGAAGUUGAAACAUAGACUAUAACAGAUUAUAGGCACAGAUUACAGCUUAGGCCUAGGUUUUAAGUCAAACAUGAAUUUAAAUAAAGUCGGAGCGAACUGGAGCGGAGCAAAAUCCUCGCUCCAACCUUUGAAUUGAAAACUGCUGUGCGCUCCAACAUAUUUCUUCCCCUCUGCUCCACCACUCUGCUAAGAAACCUACAGACACCUGCCUGUUGAACAUGAACACAGGGCUGUCCAGCUCCAGGCUUUAAGAGUUAACAACUUUUGGUUCAUCCACGGUGAUACUAUUUAAUGAAUUUGUCUCUCACGUUUUCAGAAAGGGAAAACCAAAAAGAAGUUAAACUAGCUAGUCCAGGAUUUUUGCACGCCAAAGUUUGCAUCGUUGGACCCAAUUGGUGCCUUUCAUCCUCCUCAAUUACUCUGAGAUGAGAGGAUGUCUGGAGCUACUGUUUAAAGCUUCAGGAGCUGAAGAGACUGGUGAUGGGUUCAAUGUUCUAGACCCUAAAGACUGUUUUCACUGUUAGAUUUAUUAGUUUAUUAUCUCUGGUGAUUCUUUAGAUUUAGAUUAGAUUGCAUAAUCUCACACUGUGAUGCAAACGAAGAGCUGCUGAUGCAACCUGUAGAUAUUCUGAUGCCUGAAAAGAUUCAAUACGCUAUGUUGAGCUUUUAAAAAAAAAGAAAAGCACUUUGGGUUUAUUGACCUACUUUUAGCAAGUUAGGAGAUCAUUUCUAGUUAUUCAUCUUUCACUUGUUCAGAGGAGCUAAAAUGUUAGAGAAGAAGACAUUCCCAUGGAAUUCAGCUUUAAGAGGGAAACUAUUCAGGUUUUGAAUUAUAAUGUUAAAACUGAUUAUAUUUCAUAAAAAGCUGUGAAUUUGUUUUUAGUUAUAUAGAUGAAUGCACUUCUAAAGUUCCCGUUACUGUCAGGGACAAGUUUGAGGUCCCCCCACUUUAAUGCUAUUAGAUAUGCUACGUUUAUAAUUGAGCCUCUUUGAUAAGGUGUUUGGCAUCAUUAAUAUUCCUCCAAGUAUCAGGUCUAAGACGAAGCCUGAAAAUAAAAACAGUUGCUUUAGAACUUAAUCAGUUUUGCCUUAUAUUUGAAAUCUAUCUGGGAAAUAAAAAUUAACAUAACGUCACGUGUAACAUUUGGUCAGCAAUAAAGUAUUACUGAUGUUUAUUUGCAUGAGCUGUGCAACAUGUUACCUAAAAAAAAAAAAAAAAAAUCAGUGUUUUCUGAGCAGAUGUUUUUCUUUACAUCACAAAUUUUAAGUUUUUUUAUUUUUCUGCAUAGGAAACUGGUUGAAUCAUUUAUUGAUCUAUGCAAAUAAAGUCCUCACAUUCU